rnacentral:rRNA from 1 species
UACGAAGGGGGCUAGCGUUGCUCGGAAUUACUGGGCGUAAAGCGCACGUAGGCGGAUUUGUAAGUCAGGGGUGAAAUCCCGGGGCUCAACCUCGGAACUGCCUUUGAUACUGCAAAUCUCGAGUCCGGAAGAGGUGAGUGGAAUUCCUAGUGUAGAGGUGAAAUUCGUAGAUAUUAGGAAGAACACCAGUGGCGAAGGCGGCUCACUGGUCCGGUACUGACGCUGAGGUGCGAAAAGCGUGGGGAGCAAACAGG